rnacentral:misc_RNA from 1 species
UCUCCGUAGGUGAACCAGCGGAGGGAUCAUUACCGAGUGCAAACUCAUAACCCUUUGUGAACCUAUAUCUGUUGCUUCGGCGGCUCGCUCUCGGGCGAGCCCGCCGGUAAUAUCAGUAUCUCUGUUUGAACCCGACGAUACUUCCGAGUGUUCUUAGCGAACAGUUAAAACUUUUAACAACGGAUCUCUUGGCUCUA